GACGAACGCUGGCGGCGUGCUUAACACAUGCAAGUCGAACGGAAAGGCCCUGCUUUUGUGGGGUGCUCGAGUGGCGAACGGGUGAGUAACACGUGAGUAACCUGCCCUUGACUUUGGGAUAACUUCAGGAAACUGGGGCUAAUACCGGAUAGGAGCUCCUGCUGCAUGGUGGGUGUUGGAAAGUUUCGGCGGUUGGGGAUGGACUCGCGGCUUAUCAGCUUGUUGGUGGGGUAGUGGCUUACCAAGGCUUUGACGGGUAGCCGGCCUGAGAGGGUGACCGGCCACAUUGGGACUGAGAUACGGCCCAGACUCGUACGGGAGGCAGCAGUGGGGAAUAUUGCACAAUGGGCGGAAGCCUGAUGAAGCAACGCCGCGUGCGGGAUGACGGCCUUCGGGUUGUAAACCGCUUUCGCCUGUGACGAAGCGUGAGUGACGGUAAUGGGUAAAGAAGCACCGGCUAACUACGUG
rnacentral:rRNA from 1 species